rnacentral:tRNA from 1 species
GCAGGUAUGGCGGAAUUGGCAGACGCGCCAGACUUAGGAUCUGGUGGGAUUCCCUGUCCGAGUUCGAGUCUCGGUACCUGCA